rnacentral:rRNA from 1 species
UACGUAGGGGGCAAGCGUUAUCCGGAAUUACUGGGUGUAAAGGGUGAGUAGGCGGCAUGGUAAGCCAGAUGUGAAAGCCUUGGGCUUAACCCGAGGAUUGCAUUUGGAACUAUCAAGCUAGAGUACAGGAGAGGAAAGCGGAAUUCCUAGUGUAGCGGUGAAAUGCGUAGAUAUCGAGAGGAACACUCGUGGCGAAGGCGGGUUCCUGGACAUUAACUGACGCUGAGGCACGAAGGCCAGGGGAGCGAAAGGG